AGAUGAUUACCAUCAACAGUUUGUUUGUGUCCUAUAUCCCGUGCCUGGGGAGCCCUUGCCGUCUGUAUUGUGAGCCCUGUCUUUUCGAUUUGUUCUAGGAAUAGGUUCAUUUUCCUUAUCCAUAUCAUGGCUUGGCUCAAGACGGACUCCACUCUCCUCAUUCUUUGACCUUAAAUCUGUGUACCGCUUCUUAGCUUUAAAAGAGGUUCCAAGCUUCCACCAUCUGGUUCUUGAUCGGGCCCAAGACGGACUCCACUUUCCUCAUUCUGCUCUGCCAUCAAUCCUGUGUACUGCUCAUGAGCUGAAAAAAG